GACGAACGCUGGCGGCGUGCUUAACACAUGCAAGUCGAACGGAGCGAAUGAAAGCUUGCUUUUAUGAGCUUAGUGGCAAACGGGUGAGUAACACGUAGACAACCUGCCGACAGGAUGGGGACAACAUUCCGAAAGGAAUGCUAAUACCGAAUGAAGCGGAGGAGAGGCAUCUCUCCUCCGUGAAAGAUGGCCUCUGAAUAUGCUAUCACCUGUCGAUGGGUCUGCGUCUGAUUAGCUAGUUGGUGAGGUAACGGCUCACCAAGGCGACGAUCAGUAGCCGGUCUGAGAGGAUGAACGGCCACAUUGGGACUGAGACACGGCCCAGACUCCUACGGGAGGCAGCAGUGGGGAAUCUUCCGCAAUGGGCGCAAGCCUGACGGAGCAACGCCGCGUGAGUGAAGAAGGUCUUCGGAUCGUAAAGCUCUGUUGACGGGGACGAACGUGCGAGAGGUGAAUAAUC
rnacentral:rRNA from 1 species